rnacentral:tRNA from 3 species
GCUCAAGUGUCCGAGUGGUUAAGGAGACAGACUUGAAAUCUGUUACGCUUUGCGUGCGCAGGUUCAAAUCCUGUCUUGAGCG